rnacentral:rRNA from 1 species
AACGAACGCUGGCGGCAUGCCUAACACAUGCAAGUCGAACGAGACCUUCGGGUCUAGUGGCGCACGGGUGCGUAACGCGUGGGAACCUGCCCUUAGGUUCGGAAUAACUCCCCGAAAGGGGUGCUAAUACCGGAUAAUGUCUUCGGACCAAAGAUUUAUCGCCUUUGGAUGGGCCCGCGUUGGAUUAGCUAGUUGGUAGGGUAAAAGCCUACCAAGGCGACGAUCCAUAGCUGGUCUGAGAGGAUGGUCAGCCACACUGGGACUGAGACACGGCCCAGACUACUACGGGAGGCAGCAGUGGGGAAUAUUGGACAAUGGGCGAAAGCCUGAGCCAGCAAUGCCGCGUGAGUGAUGAAGGCCUUAGGGUUGUAAAGCUCUUUUACCCGGGAUGAUAAUGACAGUACCGGGAGAAUAAGCUCCGGCUAACUCCGUG